GCGGCUGUAGUCCAGCCUGGUCUAGGACCUUGGCCUCCCAAGCCAGAAACGCGGGUUCAAAUCCCGCCAGCCGCACCA
rnacentral:tRNA from 1 species